CAUGUAUUAAAUUGAAAAGAUUUUGAUAUGACAGGAAAUCUUGAAAAGAUUUUGGUUUUUGGGUGACUAUAAACAACGCCGUAGUAGACGUGAAAACGCAAGCGUAAAGCGGAUUAUGCCUGCGAGCUUGAGUGUUUGUGUUUCACACAAAGCGGAAAAAAAAAAGGAGGAGAAGAAUUUCGCCGCGGAAAUAAAAGGUAGUAAAAGAGGAAAGGGGAAAAAGAAGAAAAGAAGCGCCGUGUGCCAUGGCCCAUGUGUGUGCGCGCGCGCCCCAGUUGUGUGAACUUGACCUGAACUUGCCCGUCGGUUUCCCGGA
rnacentral:lncRNA from 1 species